rnacentral:rRNA from 1 species
GAUGAACGCUGGCGGCGUGCCUAAUACAUGCAAGUCGAACGAACGGACGAGACGCUUGCUUUUCUGAUGUUAGCGGCGGACGGGUGAGUAACCCGUGGAUAACCUACCUAUAAAACUGGGAUAACUUCGGGAAUCCGGAGCUGAUACCAGAUAAUAUUUUGAACCGCAUGAUUGCAAAGUGAAAGGCGGGCGUGCUGUCACUUAUAGUUGGAUCCGCACUGCAUUAGCUAGGUGGUAAGGUAACGGCUUAGCAAGGCGACGCUGGCUAGCCGACCUGAAAGGGUGAGCGGCCACACUGGACCUGAGGCACGGUCCAGACUACUACGGGAGGCACCAGUCGGGAAUCUUCCGCAAUGGGCGCAGGCCUGACGGAGCCACGCCGCGUGAGUGCUGAAGGUAUUCGGACCGUAAAACUCUGUUAUUAGGGCAGUACAUAUGUGUAAGUAACUAUGCAAAUCUUGACGGUACCUAAUCAGAAAGCCACGGCCAACUUCGUG